GCCGGGCGUGGUGGUGCACACCUGUAGUCCGAGCUACUCAGGAGGCUGAGGCAGAAGAAUCACUUGGACCCAGGAGGUGGAGGUUGCAGUGAGCUGAGAUCACGCCACUGUACUCCAGCCUGGGUGACAAAGUAAGACUCUGUCUCAA
rnacentral:sRNA from 1 species